rnacentral:rRNA from 1 species
GAUGAACGCUGGCGGCGUGCCUAAUACAUGCAAGUCGAGCGAACGGACGAGAAGCUUGCUUCUCUGAUGUUAGCGGCGGACGGGUGAGUAACACGUGGAUAACCUACCUAUAAGACUGGGAUAACUUCGGGAAACCGGAGCUAAUACCGGAUGAUAUUUUGAACCGCAUGGUUCAAAAGUGAAAGACGGUCUUGCUGUCACUUAUAGAUGGAUCCGCGCUGCAUUAGCUAGUUGGUAAGGUAACGGCUUACCAAGGCAACGAUGCAUAGCCGACCUGAGAGGGUGGUCGGCCACACUGGAGCUGGGACACGGUCCAGACUCCUACGGGAGGCAGCAGUAGGGAAUCUUCCGCAAUGGGCGAAAGCCUGACGGAGCAGCGCCGCGUGAGUGAUGAAGGUCUUCGGUUCGUAAAACUCUGUUAUUAGGGGAGAACAUAUGUGUAAGUAACUGUGCACAGCUUGACGGUACCGAAUCAGAAAGCCACGGCUAACUACGUG